GUCUAGCAAGUAAACUGGGGUUCUCAUUCUACUCAGCACUCUCUUCGCAAUUUCUGCUGCGGGUGGCGUCCCUGCUGGAUACAGUGACCCCGACAGCGGAUACCAAGCACAGCAUAAUCCAAAAAACAGCUUUUGAAAAAGUGAACAAAGGCAGCAGACAAUUAGUAGACUGUGAAGCGGGAGAUUUUGAAUCGGGACAUUUGAGAAAAAGAAAAAGGGGAAAGAACUCGCCUGGAAGAUCACAGUAGAGAGUGAGUCCCGCCUGACUAUGGAGGUUUUGGCUUUUGGCGCCGACGCUAGAAUCAUACAUGUUAAGGACUGCCACAUGUUGAGACUCAGUGAGUCGCCUACAAACAUUAUCUUCUUCCCUCUCCACCGCCUCAGAAGCUCCAACCCGUCAAACCUUCAAAGAAAUGAACACACUUUCUCAGAGAAGAAAGCUUGAGCUGAAGGAAAGCAGGAAUGUCUAAAAUGGAAGAAAAAGGAAUGAGAAAAGUAGUACCUUGGAAGAUCACACAAGUCUGGUUUCCAAAUGUAGUUGAGGUAGGAUCGAUCUGGUCUGCCAUACUUUUGGCAGUUAAACUCAGGGUCUAUGAAGGGACAGCUUGAAGAUUCAUAAAGAGGUAAAGAAGGAUCAAAAACCCAUCUUCCCUGAAACAAAUUGCACGCCCUCUCCUGCUUCCUACUUCCCACAUUGCUUAUGUUGUAGAGAUCCUCAGCUCUUGCAGUUUGUAGUAAACAGAGAAACAGAAGUUGUAAAAGUAGGAGGGCCAGAGCUCUGAAUGGAAGACCCAUCCCAGAUUUUGGGCUCUGACUGAAAAGAAGGGAGAGCUUCGGGGAAUACAAAUAGACAGAAGCAAGUGGGUGUAUAUGGAGACAAACGAGAGAACCAGCCGAGAGGACCUUCCCUGAUUAUUAUUUUAAUCCUUGAAAAUUUUAUGCCAUGAGCUGGGAAUUGAAUUAUGUUGGCUGGAUUGAUUAAGGGAAGUACAACAGAUUUCUGGCC